CACACAGUAAGUGGAGGAGCUGGGGCCUCCCAACACUCUCGUCUCCCCAAAACUUAUCUACUUAGACCUCUGCCAACUCUGGGCCGGGGUGCUGAGGUCCCGCGGCCGCGCUCUGUCCCGUAGGCGGAGGGAUCUGGGUUCCACGCGCCGCAGUCGCGCGCCCCGGUGGGGUGGGGCGCAGGCUAGGGCAGGAGGCGUGGCUGCGCCCAAGGCCGCCCCGCAAGGCCCCACCCCUCCCUACAAGGCCCUCCCAUUGGCCCCCCGCUUGUCCAUCACCCUCCUCUUCCCCUCCCCCUCCACCCCAUCCCGCAAGCUAGGGUGCGCGGUGCCUACGUCGGCCUCGAGUCUGGGGCUGGAGGAGUUGCCUUUGGAGCCCGAAAGGAGGAAGGAAGCAAAAUAUCAACAACCGUCGAGGCGGCUUGGGCGCUCAGCCGCGUCCCCGCCGCCCGCCGCCGCCGCCCCCGCGCACACCAGGGGGUCCGGAUCCUGCGGCGCCGCCCAGGCCGCGUGGACGCGGCGCCUCCGCUGUUCCCCGCCGGAGCUGCUGCUUCGCCAAGCCGAGGAUACCGCGGGCCGGGCCGAGGCUCCCGGCGCCGUGACAACCCCGUUCCCCCGCGGGCUGGAGCCUGUUCACAGGUGUUCUACAGACCAUGAAAUAGUCCCAGACAUUCAUGAGCACAGUGUGAGGCUCCUGACCACCACCCAGCAGCCCUUUCCUUUCUGGCACUAAGGACCCCCCAGAGAAGAUGGGGAGGAAAAAGAUUCAGAUCCAGCGAAUCACUGAUGAGCGGAACCGCCAGGUGACGUUCACCAAGCGCAAGUUUGGACUGAUGAAGAAGGCGUACGAGCUGAGCGUGCUGUGUGACUGUGAGAUCGCGCUCAUCAUCUUCAACCACUCCAACAAGCUGUUCCAGUACGCCAGCACCGACAUGGACAAGGUGCUGCUCAAGUACACGGAGUACAACGAGCCGCACGAGAGCCGCACCAAUGCUGACAUCAUAGAGACCCUGAGGAAGAAGGGUUUCAACGGCUGUGACAGCCCAGAGCCGGAUGGGGAGGACUCACUGGAGCAGAGCCCCCUGCUGGAGGACAAGUACCGGCGGGCCAGUGAGGAACUGGAUGGGCUCUUCAGGCGCUAUGGGUCAUCUGUUCCGGCCCCCAACUUUGCCAUGCCUGUCACAGUGCCCGUGUCCAAUCAGAGCUCCAUGCAAUUCAGCAAUCCCAGCGGCUCUCUGGUCACUCCUUCCCUGGUGACGUCAUCCCUUACGGACCCACGGCUCCUGUCCCCCCAGCAGCCAGCACUACAGAGAAACAGUGUUUCUCCAGGCCUGCCCCAGCGACCUGCUAGUGCAGGAGCCAUGCUGGGUGGAGACCUCAACAGUGCUAAUGGCGCCUGCCCCAGUCCCGUGGGGAACGGCUAUGUCAGCGCCCGAGCUUCCCCUGGCCUCCUCCCUGUGGCCAAUGGCAACAGCCUAAACAAAGUCAUCCCUGCCAAGUCUCCGCCCCCACCCACCCACAACACCCAGCUUGGAGCCCCCAGCCGCAAGCCUGAUCUGCGGGUCAUCACUUCCCAGGGAGGCAAAGGGUUAAUGCAUCAUUUGACUGAGGACCAUUUAGAUCUGAACAAUGCCCAGCGCCUUGGGGUCUCCCAGUCUACCCACUCACUUACCACCCCAGUGGUUUCCGUGGCAACACCAAGUUUACUCAGCCAGGGCCUCCCUUUCUCCUCCAUGCCCACUGCCUACAACACAGAUUACCAGCUGUCCAGUGCAGAGCUGUCCUCCUUACCAGCUUUCAGCUCACCUGCCGGACUGGCACUAGGCAAUGUCACCGCCUGGCAACAGCCCCAGCAGCCUCAGCAACCACAGCAACCACAGCCGCCACAGUCACAACCACAGCCGCAGCCACAGCAGCCACAGCAGCCACCUCAGCAACAGCCCCACUUGGUCCCCGUAUCGCUCAGCAACCUCAUCCCAGGCAGCCCCUUGCCCCAUGUGGGUGCUGCUCUCACGGUCACCACCCACCCGCACAUCAGCAUCAAGUCAGAACCAGUGUCCCCAAGCCGUGAGCGCAGCCCUGCACCUCCUCCUCCAGCUGUGUUCCCAGCUGCCCGCCCUGAUCCUGGUGAAGGUCUCAGCAGCCCAGCUGGAGGAUCCUAUGAGACCGGGGACCGGGAUGAUGGACGGGGGGACUUUGGGCCCACACUAGGCCUGCUGCGCCCAGCCCCAGAGCCUGAGGCUGAUGGCUCAGCUGUGAAGAGGAUGCGGCUGGAUACUUGGGUACUGUAAUAUUGCCCUUCUGUCUGCCGGUGUCUGCAUCACCCAGGGACUGUCCCACAGGCACUCAGCCCGCUUUCUUUCCCACCUGAGAGGCCUUGUGGCCAGCAUUCCUUUUGGACAUUAAAGUGACGGCUCCCACUCCCUCCUCUCAGCCUCCCUGAUGAAGAGUUGACAAUCUCACCGCCUACCCCUCCCUGUCCUGGGCUCCUCCCGCUCGACCCCCACUUCCUUUCUUCUGCUCCAUGUCCUGUUGAUGGUUACAUUUGUGUAUAAUUAUAUUAUUAUUAUUAUUAUUAUUAUAUUUUUAAAUUCGAAUUCUCGCUUUAGAGAGAGGGUUGCUCUUGCCCCUUUCUUGGCCCCACCAUUUUCACUGGUGGGGGGACUCUCUUUAUUGCGGGAAAGGGGGGGACACUUUGCACGUUGUACACAUAUGCUGCAGGGGUGGGGGCAGUAGGCCUUGGAGAAGGACAGGUGCCGAGCCCUGCAUGUGGAGCCCUCCCAUCCCAUUCCCAGAUAGACGUAAAGAACCAAAAACUAUCCAACAACAAAAACCCCAGAGCUGGCUUGAUGUUGGGUUUGCGUCUCAGGGACAGGAAGGGACAGAGACUCUGCUUCGGGCUGUUCAUGGCUAAUACCCAUCUUGGUCCCUCCAGCUUCCUGCGUACACACCACACUCACUGGUCCUGUGUGAUGCACCCCAAGAUCUGGGUUCUAGGAAGGCUGCCUGGGAAUCUGAGGCCAGGGCAGGGACUUGAGGUAGGAACCUCUUUGGAAGUAACAUUGGAGAGACAGCUGUAGAAAGAGGGCUGAUGAGGGCAGAAGGACUGGGUGUGGCGAAUCGGGACCCUACCCCUGGCUUUUCCUUUAAGAUGUACAGUGCAAUAGCUCCCCAUCCUUUAGCCUACCCCAGCCCUAGAAAGCUGGCCAUGUACUGGAAGAGUUGGGGAGAGGACCUUCAGUGGAGUAGCUCCAGGUUGGACCAGGGUCAUCCUUUGGUUCCUUGGGGCACUGAGGGCAGGAGGCCUGUCAGGGGCAGGCAUGGGGAGGGUACCUCUGCUAUGUGCACCACACCCAGAAGAGUGCACGCGGGGCGCACAGCAUGGUCCAUGGAGCUAGAGGGCCCUACAGAUGCGGCCCCUGAGGCCCCUCCCCAGUCCUCCUAACUCCUGCCCCUGACCCGCUACCUCCUGUCCCUCCACCUCCAGGCCACGCCCCAAACCUGCCCUCUUGCUACUGUAAUUGUAAAUAGCAACCUUCCAAAAUGUUAGUGGUUAACAGUCCAGGAAACUGUUGUGUUGUUUGUUGUUGUUGUUGUUGUAUUGAUAUGAAAUGAGAUUCUAUUUUUGUCAAAGUAUAUUGUAAUAAUAAUGACUCAAAUGGCCCGUACUGUACAGAUGGGAUUCUUCUGCUGUUCUUGCCUUGCUCUCCCAGGCUUGUGCUUUGUCGCCUCCUCAGUGGGGCUGCAGGCAAGCACCCAGGGGAGGGGAGGGGAGACAGCACACACUCCGUGGGUAGAGUAAGACAAUGCUCAGUGCUGUAGGAAGAUGGUCUUUGCCCGCCUGUGACCCAGCCUUUUGUAGUAUUGACACUUGAUGCAGGGAAGAAGCCAGAAGCAGAGGGGUGUGAGCAUGCUCGUGGGGGCGUUUCUGGGUGCACCCUGUAUUUAUGAGAUUGUGUGCAGCUGUGCGGAUGUACCUUUGAGUGCCUCUGAGUCCAGUGGGUGUAUUCGUAAAUCUUAAGUGACUCAGGCUCCAGGGGCCUCUGUGUCUGUGUGGCUGGGUGUAUUUACACAAGGAUAGGUGGCUUCCAGCUCUGUGCUUCUCACUGCCCUCUUCCCUGGGCUGCUCUCAGUCCUGAAACAUUUGUACUAAAGUUAUAGGGAGUUGCUAGUUGACCAUCCCACCUCUCCCUACAGCCUACCUCCACCAGGGCCUCACUCUGGGAGCUCUGCCUCCUUAUGGCUGUCCGCUAGUCCUAGCCAGACCAGUUCUGACCCUGGAGUUCUGAUUUGUUUGUGGACAAACUCAAGUUCCUCCUCCUCCUGGGAGCUCUGCCUUUUCAGGCAGGCAACCCUCUUUUACCCAGGGUUUUACCCCAGUAGCUGACCAGGUAAGGGGGUCAAACAUGUGUCCUGCCUUCCCACCCCUCCUCACAGUUCCUAGAGGGAGUUUUUAAGACUUGCCUAAGGCCUUGACGGGAGCCAGGGUGUAGUCCUGUACACAUACACUCCCCUUGAAAGCGGCUGGCACAUUUUAGGCCCUCAGCAGAUGCUGAAUGGGCGAAUGAUAGGUGCUCAAUAAACAUGGAAUCACUGGCCUCUUUUCAGGCUGAGCGUGGCCACCAUCACACAGAGCUGCGGUGAGGCCCCUGACGUUCACAGCGUGCUACUCAUCAGUGUGCAGUCUGCUUCCCGAAUGCAAACCUGGCUUCUGAUUGCCAUGUAUGGGUGUGUGUGUGUGUGUGUGUGUGUGUGUGUGUGUGUGUUCAUCCCUGUCCCUGACAGUAGGGACAGUCUGUGAAUGAAUAUGUGAUAUUUCUGCAGUUCAGUAUCUCCAGGAUUCUCCUGGGGCUAUGUAGGGGCUUCUGGCUGGCCAGGUAAAUUGAUCCCUGGGAACCCAGACCUCAAAUAGGGACUUAUUUUCUUCCUCUCACAAGCCAAAUUUGCCUCCUAUUCACUUCCUCUGCAAAACUGGGUAUUUGCCAAAGUAGCCUCUGGCGCCAUCCAGUGCCCUUCCCACCCAGAUCUCCCUCGGCUUUCAGGGACAGUGAGACCGAGGGCCACCCCCACAUGCCUCAGUGGAACACAUUCCCUCCACCCCAGCAGUGCACUCGACGUCCCUCCCCACUUCGGACAGGAAGGAAGAAAGAUGCACCUUCUCUUGCUGAUUAUUUAUUUGUUCGGAGAGACGGAAAUGAUGUGAAAGUGUCUAAAAGUCUCUCUAUCUCUCUCUAUUUUUAACUGACUCUCUGGAACCCCCUGUGGGGGAAUGUAGGCUUUCCUGGAGGCUGGGAGUUCCUUGUUCUGCCCCCUUCUGCCUCCUGCUUAUGCAGAGGGAUGAGAUUUAAUGGGGCAAGAGAGCUAAGAUUCCCAAGGAGAAUCUGAAUUCUCUACCCCAUUCAAGUCCCAGAGAGAGGGAAGUAGGGAGGGGUGGGGCCAGCCAAGAGGCGACCCAUCCCCAAACUUGACAAUCACCCACACUCCUGGCUCCUGGGUCUUGGGCAGGGUGAGCCCAAGUGUGUGGCUGUUGAUUUGUUUCAUUAUUUCUUUCCGUGCUGUACGGUGAUGCUUUCUAGUAUUCUGCACAUUAAGAAAAGACAAAGUCCUCGAGAUUCUUACGAGUUUGGUUUGAAAACUCUUUCACUAUAUUUGUUGUAAAGAGGUUUACUAUUAAAAGAAAAAAGAACACGUUUCUGAUA